rnacentral:lncRNA from 1 species
UUUUCUUGCAUCAGUGAACUGCGACAGAUCAACUCAUGGACGGCACAGCAGUCACAAGCACUUCUACCUGUUCACUGAUAACUUGCUGAUGGCCUGAGAGAAUUGAUGUGCAGCUUCUCUGGGGAAAACAAAGCCAAUGCUGUUUAUAAAAGCCAGAGAUCCCACAGAGCAUGAAAUCAUCCUUCUCCAUUGCUUCACGAAUGGACUGAGCAGAAGGCUAUUGUCUAACUCUUGGUCCUGACUCAUGAAUCUCUAAAAGGCACUCCUAUCUUUUAAUGCUUUGAAGUUCUGCUGGAGAGUGGUAGGUAGAGAUACACAGAGCAAAUUAGUUUUUAUUUUUUAUUUUUCUUGA